CCUAAAGAGAUGUAUGAACUACAUCUUGAGUAAUUGUAGUGUGCGAUACUACGAUUACUCAAAUUUAGUAUAAAAACUUUCAAUGUGUGACAGUUGACAAUUAUAGUGGAGCGGAGUGCGGAUUAGUGGGAAAGGAGAAAGAGGCGGCGGUAUUUGGUCAAAGGAGUUUGGAAGAAAAUAUUUUAGGGCCAAAAGCAGUAGUAGUGUAGUUCCUGUAGUUGACUACACCUCAAAAUGACAAAAAAAUGACUACUACAACCACUACACAAAUUUGAAUGUAGUUGAACUACCGGCAAACUGCUGCAAAAUGUCAUGAAACUACGAGUUUAACAGCAUGUAUUUAAACUACCUCCCAGACGCUGCAUAUCAGAAGAAUUAUACCUUUUGGCAUUGACCUUCCCCCUCCUUAUAAGUCAUAACACUAUUGCAGUGUUAAAUCAAUUGUAAUUGGGUGGUGUAUAGCCAUUGUCUGUUUUAAGGAGACAUUUGAGUUAAACACUGAGAAGGUAGGCCAACCAAAAACAGUUAAUAAAUUAUUCUAAAUUUCAGUUGCAAUGUCCAUGUAAUUUACAAAACAGUCCAGUUUGCAUGUGUUUCUCCGUGUUUGAUAUUUCGUUAAAUCCCGUUUCAUUCAGUUCGUAAUUGCAAUACG